ensembl:lncRNA
CCCACACGAGGCCUCAACUGUGCCAGGCCCCCUCCAGCCUGGGCCCCGAGGCCACCACUGUGCUGGACCACCCUCCGGCACAGGCCCUGCCCCAAGCCCUGCCCCCUGUGGACAGCUCUGCUCUUUGCCUGCUUGGUUUUUGUUCUCUCUUCACUCUGCCAGCUUAACUGGAUGAGUUUCAAUGGGGCCGAGCGUCGGGUCCUGCAUUUUGGUCACAACAACCCCAGGCGUCCCCCCAGUCCUCCUUGGCGAGGAGUGGCUGGAAAGCUGCCUGAUCCCUGAAAGGGACCUUGGUGUGCUGAUGGACAGGUGGCUGAAGAUGAGCCAGCAGUGUGCCCAGGUGGCCAAGAAGGCCAAUGGCAUAACCACAAUUCCUGGCUCAGGAAUGGUGUGGUGAGCAGGACUAAGGAAGUCAUCCUGCCCCUGGACUCGGCACUGGCGAGGCCUCACCUCGAGUCCAGUGUUCAGUUUUGGGCACCUCAGCACAGAAGGGCUGUUGAGGUGCUGAAGCAGGUUGAAAGAAGGGCAACAAGGCUGGGGAAGGCCUUGGACAAUAUGCCCUCUGAGGAGUGAGUGAAGGAACUGGGGCUGUUUAGCGUGGGGAAAAGGAGGCUGAGGGGAGACCUGAUGGGCUCCCUAUUCCACCCAGGGAGCUGGUUCAGUCACCAUCCCUGAAUGUGUUGAAAACCAGGUGGUGCUCGGAGACAUGAUUGAGCAAGGGGUUGUUAGAGUUAGGCUGGUAUGGUUAGGUUGUGCUUAGACUGGAGGAUCUUUAAGGUCUUUGUGGCGACAAAAACUCCAACCAUCUCAAGCCUGGGGGAAAGGGGCUGACCCCAACGGUCACGCAACCCCCCCCCCUGGGGGGAGGGGCUCCCCUAACUGCCACUCUCCAGCUGUCAUGGCAGGUAAGGCAGCAGGCUUCCCCUGCCCCCAUGCUUCAGCUGGCCCCAGCGCUCCAGAUCCCACCCCUGUGCCCCAGAUCUCACCCCAGCAAACCAGAUCUCACCCCAGCAAACCAGAUCCCACCCCUGUAACCCCGAUAUCACCCCCGUAACCCAGAGCUCAUCCCAGAUCUCACCCCAGCGCCCCAGAUCCCACCCCUGUAACCCUGAUAUCACCCCCGUAACCCAGAGCUCACCCCAGUGUCCCAGAUCCCACCCCAGCGUCCCAGAACUCACCUCAGCGCCCCAGAUCCCAGCCCUGUAAGCCCGAUCUCAGCCCUGUGCCCCAGAUCCCACCCCAGCGCCCCAGAGCCCACCCCAGAGCCUGCUUUGGCCUUUCCCCACGGAGAGAAUCCCUCGAGGAGCGCUGACGGUGCCUCUGACACCCGACGCCAUUUUCCCUGAAGCGACUGUGCCGCCACCGGACCCCGCCUGGAUGCAGCCCACCAUCCGCGGACCGAUGCCGGUACCACCCCAAGCCCUCCCUGUCCCCACUGCCACCUACCUGGCGCCUCAGACCUCUGUCUGGCCUGGGGUACCAGGUGUCUGGGGACAGGCAGCGCAGCUCCCCCCUGGGGGGCUGCCCCCAACUGGGGCUCAACUGCCACCUGGGGGCCUGCCCCCAACUGUGGGGCUGCACUUACCGGUGCUGCAGCUGCUACCUGGGGGGCUGCACCCAGCUAUGGCUCCCCCCACUGCCCCUGCUCACUGCUGGGGACAUCCCCUGCUGGCAGGGACGCUGCUGCCCC